rnacentral:rRNA from 1 species
GGUAACGUUAAAGCGGGUGAAAAGCCCGCUCGCCGUAAGCCCAAGGUUUCCUGCUCUACGUUCAUCGGAGCAGGGUGAGUCGGCCCCUAAGGUGAGGCUGAGAAGCGUAACUGAUGGGAACAAGGUUAAUAUUCCUUGACCACCGCUGAAUGCGAAGGGGGGACGGAGUAUUGAAGAUCAUCCGGGUGUUGGAUAUCCCGGUUUGCGAGCGUAGGAGGCUGACAGGCAAAUCCGUCAGCGGAUCUCCGAGGCAAAGCAUCGAGCUCUCUUUUGAGCGAAGUGAUUGGAUGUGCUUCCAGGAAAAGCCUCUAAGCUCCAGUUCAGCGGGACCGUACCGCAAACCGACACUGGUGGGCGAGCUGAAUAUGCUCAGGCGCUUGAGAGAACUCAGGAGAAGGAACUCGGCAAAUUGACACCGUAACUUCGGGAUAAGGUGUGCCUUUGUAGCGUGGAGGGAGAAACACCCCGAGCGCGAAGAGGUCUCAGAUAAUCGGUGGCUGCGACUGUUUAUUAAAAACACAGCACUCUGCAAAGACGAAAGUCGACGUAUAGGGUGUGAUGCCUGCCCGGUGCUGGAAGAUUAAUUGAUGGGGUGCAAGCUCCUGAUCGAAGUCGCAGUAAACGGCGGCCGUAACAAUAACGGUCCUAAGGUAGCGAAAUUCCUUGUCGGGCAAGUUCCGACCUGCACGAAUGGCAUAACGAUGGCCACACUGUCUCCUCCUGAGACUCAGUGAAGUUGAAGUGUUUGUGAUGAUGCAAUCUCCCCGCGGCUAGACGGAAAGACCCCAUGAACCUUUACUGUAGCUUUGCAUUGGACUUUGAACCGAUCUGUGUAGGAUAGGCGGGAGCCUGUGAAACCACAACGCCAGUUGUGGCGGAGGCGUCCUUGAAAUACCGCCCUGAUUUGUUUGAGGUUCUAACCUGGGACAGUCAUCCUGUCCGGGGACCGUGCAUGGUAGGCAGUUUGACUGGGGCGGUCUCCUCCUAAAGGGUAACGGAGGAGUGCGAAGGUACGCUAGGUACGGUCGGAAAUCGUGCUGAUAGUGCAAUGGCAAAAGCGUGCUUGACUGCGAGACCCACAAGUCGAGCAGAUACGAAAGUAGGUCAUAGUGAUCCGGUGGCUCUGUAUGGAAGGGCCAUCGCUCAACGGAUAAAAGGUACUCUGGGGAUAACAGGCUGAUACCGCCCAAGAGUUCAUAUCGACGGCGGUGUUUGGCACCUCGAUGUCGUCUCAUCUCAUCCUGGGGCUGUAGCCGGUCCCAAGGGUAUGGCUGUUCGCCAUUUAAAGAGGUACGUGAGCCGGGUUUAAAACGUCGUGAGACAGUUUUGUCCCUAUCUGCCGUGGGCGCUGGAAGAUUGACGGGGGCUGCUCCUAGUACGAGAGGACCGGAGUGGACUCACCUCUGGUGUACCGGUUGUCACGCCAGUGGCAUCGCCGGGUAGCUAUGUGGGGAAGAGAUAACCGCUGAAAGCAUCUAAGCGGGAAACUUGCCUGAAGAUAAGUCUUCCUGGAGGCUAGACCUCCCUAAAGAGUCGUUCGAGACCAGGACGUUGAUAGGAUGGGUGUGUAAGUGCUGUGAGGCACUCAGCUAACCAUUACUAAUUGCUCGUGAAGCUUGAUCCU